GGGAGAGGGAGGAAGAGACUGUGACACUUGUGACACUCUCGGCUUGGCGGAGCACCAACAACACUCAAAUGUCAAUGUCAGUGUCAAAAGAGGAAUAACCAAGCUGUUAAAAGUUUGACCGAGUGACAUUCUGUAAUGCCUGGGAGUUUAGGUUAAGAGUGGAACGUACAAAAGGAUCACAAAAAGUAGAUUUAAAUAUACAUAUGGAAGUAUUGUAAGUAUUAUGUCCCAUCCCCUUUCGGCAGUUAGACUCCCACAUUCCUUAGUGUAAUGCGAGGAAGUUUAGGUUGUGGAAUCUACUUUUGUGAUCCUUUUAUACAUUAUAUUAAAGGGGAAGGGGAAUGGAAAGGGAGGGGAGAGCUGGUUGAAAGGAAGGGGAAUGGAAAGGGAGGGGACAGCUGGUUGAAAGGAAGGGGAAUGGAAAGGGAGGGGAGAGCUGGUUGAAAGGAAGGGGAAUGGAAAGGGAGGGGACAGCUGGUUGAAAGGAAGGGGAAUGGAAAGGGAGGGGACAGCUGGUUGAAAGGAAGGGGAAUGGAAAGGGAGGGAAGAGGAGGUUGAAAGAAGUACAUUCCAAGCAUUACAAUUCAAUACUCUACUUAUUAAAUUUAUUGUCCACACCUUCUACUCUUCCUUUAUCUACCUCUCACUUCUACCCUACUUCUCUGAUAUCCACAUACUAAUACUAACAUUUAUUAUCUUCUUAAAACUUAACCUUUACAGUUACUUUCAAAUGGAUUUAUAAACUACAACCACCAAACACUGAUAAUAACACUCUCCUAACUUCCAACUUUACCUUUACAGCUUCAAAUACAUGACUUGGGACUCUACUCUCUUUACCUAGUGUUAGAAUAUUAUCUGUACAACAAAACCACCAAACAGACUGAUGCCAAUAGUUCUUCACCUAUAGCUUA